rnacentral:lncRNA from 1 species
GAAAAAUGUUAACCUAUAAUUAAUAAUUAGAAUAAGUCAUAGUAGUAGAAUUUUCUGUAAUUCAGAGUUAAAUAAAAACAGCGAUAGAGUGACUGUCAGAAGACUAUUACAGGCAGGCACGGUGGCUCACAGCCAUAAUCCCAGUACUCUGGGAGGCCGAGGUGGGUGGAUCACUUGAGGUUAGGAGUUUGAGACCAGACUGGCCAACAUAGUGAAACCCCAUCUCUACUGAAAAUAUAAAAAAUUAGCCAUACAUGGUGGUGAGUGCCUGUAAUCCCAGCUACCUGGGAGGCUAAGGCAAGAGAAUCACUUGCAGUGGAGUGAUUGGAGUCAGGAGGUUACAGUGAGCUGAGAUUGCACUGCUAUACUCCAAACUGGACAACAGAGUGAGACCCCAUCUCAAAAAAAAAAAAAGAAAGAAAGAAAGACCUGUGAAUUCUAACAGAGGUAUACGUUUUAUUUUGUCUAAGUAUUUAGUCUCCAUUAAUUUUGAUAGGAGAAAAUAAAUAGCUAGAUUUAUUUAUGUAAAUGAAGAUUAAAUUUCUCCUUUAUUUUUUAGGCUACUCCCAUUUUGCAAAACAAAAUUAAAGGAAUGAAAAUAUGUUCCAUGUUAUUGCCAUUGAUAAAGGGUCCAGCUACUUUCUGCAGAACUGCAUCUGGGAAACUCAAAUUAGAGCGAUAACUGUGAAUAGGGCAAUUCAACAACUGCAGCCUGACAGAAGCAAGGCAACUAACUCUUCAGAAACCAUGAGGAUGAAGAUCCAUGCUAUCCUACAAGGCAAACAACCAGGAGAAGCGAAAUGCCACCAGCAGGGUAGCUCUGGAACUUGUAGAGCUGAAGUGGAGAAAUCAGGCAAGUGUUGA